rnacentral:rRNA from 1 species
AACGAACGCUGGCGGCGCGCCUAAUACAUGCAAGUCGAGCGAGAAGGUGUAGCAAUACACUUGUAAAGCGGCGAACGGGUGAGGAAUACAUGGGUAACCUACCCUCGAGUGGGGAAUAACUAGCCGAAAGGUUAGCUAAUACCGCAUACGAUUCCAGCACUUCGGUGCUGGAAGGAAAGCACUACCGUGGGUAGUGCGCUCCUGGAUGGGCUCAUGUCCUAUCAGCUUGUUGGUGAGGUAAUGGCUCACCAAGGCUUCGACGGGUAGCUGGUCUGAGAGGACGAUCAGCCACACUGGCACUGCGACACGGGCCAGACUCCUACGGGAGGCAGCAGUAAGGAAUAUUGCGCAAUGGGCGACAGCCUGACGCAGCGACGCCGCGUGGGGAUGAA